rnacentral:misc_RNA from 1 species
GAAAUGCGAUAAGUAAUGUGAAUUGCAGAAUUCCGUGAAUCAUCGAAUCUUUGAACGCACAUUGCGCCCUCUGGUAUUCCGGGGGCAUGCCUGUCCGAGCGUCAUUGCGAACCCCUCAAGCACGGCUUGUGUGAUGGGCCCUCCCGCGUCUUGGUCGUCAAGACGGGCCCGAAAUGCAGUGGCGGCUUCGCGGUUAUCCGAUCAGCCAGAGCGUAUGGGGACUUUCUCUCUGUCACACGCCCGCGGCGCGGACCGACGCCUGUCGACCUUCAUUCAUCGUUUUCUCGGUUGACCUCGGAUCAGGUAGGGAUACCCGCUGAACUUAAGC